UAUUUAACCCUAAAAAAGAAGGAAAUACUGAUAAAUGCUACAAGGUAGUUGUACCUCAAAAACAGUAUUUUAAGUGAAAGAAGCCAGACAUAAAAACUUUA